rnacentral:rRNA from 1 species
CUACGGGUUGCUGCAGUGGGGAAUAUUGGACAAUGGGGGAAACCCUGAUGCAGCAACGCCGCGUGGAGGAUGACGCAUUUCGGUGUGUAAACUCCUUUUAUAUGUCAAGAAAAUGACGGUAGCAUAUGAAUAAGCACCGGCUAACUCCGUGCCAGCAGCCGCGGUAAUACGGAGGGUGCAAGCGUUACUCGGAAUCACUGGGCGUAAAGGACGCGUAGGCGGGUUGGAAAGUCAGGUGUGAAAUCCUACAGCUUAACUGUAGAACUGCACUUGAAACUUCUAAUCUAGAGUAUGGGAGGGGGAGAUGGAAUUAGUGGUGUAGGGGUAAAAUCCGUAGAUAUCACUAGGAAUACCUAAAGCGAAGGCGAUCUCCUGGAACAUUACUGACGCUAAGGCGUGAAAGCGUGGGGAGCAAACAGGAUUAGAUACCCCGGUAGUC